AUUGAACGCUGGCGGAAUGCUUUACACAUGCAAGUCGAACGGCAGCACGGGAGCUUGCUCCUGGUGGCGAGUGGCGAACGGGUGAGUAACAUAUCGGAACGUAUCCAAUAAUGGGGGAUAACGAGUCGAAAGAUUCGCUAAUACCGCAUACGCCCUGAGGGGGAAAGCUGGGGAUCGUAAGACCUGGCGUUAAUGGAGCG
rnacentral:rRNA from 1 species